rnacentral:tRNA from 2 species
UAAGAAUUAGUUAAAAAAUAACAUUAAUAUGUCAUAUUUAAAUUAUUGAAAUUUCAAUAUUCUUAU